rnacentral:lncRNA from 1 species
CUCCAGAGCUGAGGUGGAGCACCCCCCUCUAAAAAUACCUGCACAGGUGCCAUUGUGAUGCAGUGAAAAAGAAAGAAUCCACUGGUUUUAAAGAAGUUGCUACUGUGCUGCAGGCUGGAUGAAGCAGAGGCUGGAAGGUGCCAAUCCUGGCCCUGACACGGUGCUGACGGGAAGCUGGGAGCUGUCAGAAAGACAUAUAUUUCUACAGCCUCUUUCUUAGUGCUGUUUUUCCAGAUUUGGUCUUCAGGCUAAGCUGGGACUUCACUGUGUUGUGGACCCAUCUUGCAGCUCUGCCACCUGAUGUCCAGUAGUACAAACAUCCAGGAGCUUCUGCCUGGAAACAGUGAACCUCACUUGGACUGGAGCAGCUUUUAUCCUGCUGUUGAUGUUGGCUGGAUGGAGGAGCUUGAUCUUAUGGUCAGAUGGAGGAAGAGACAGGAGACAAAACCAGAAGGGAACAUUCAGAAAAGAGCAGGAUCUCAUCUCUGGUGUGAUUCAUAGCCAGGAAGACACAGCUGGAGGCUGCAGUAUGCAACAGUCACUGCAGAAGCCCAAGCCAAGACAAACCACCUGUGACCCUUGGUUGGUCAGAGCUGAGCAGGUCUCACCCACUCUGUGAGCACACUUAAAUGAGAGCCCACCUCCCCUGCCCAUCACAGGCAGCAACGCUGGAUGCACGGGGGUAAAGUGCUUUGAGAUCCUCUGACUAGGAAAGGUCAGGAGAGCAUUGCCUUCUCUUCCAGGAGCUCCAACACCAAGGGGAAAAAUAAAUCACACAAAGCUUAAAUAGGAAACCGCA